rnacentral:rRNA from 1 species
ACGAGUAUGAAUGGUUUAAUAAUUUAAUAAGAUUUUUUAAAGAAAUAUUUAAUUUUUAUUUUAAGUAAAAAUACUUAAAUGAAUAAGGGGGACGAUAAGACCCUAAAAUCUUUAACUUAUGUAGUUUAAACAAUUUUAUGAUUAUAGGGGUUUUUUAUUAAAGUUUUAGCUGGGGUAGUUUUUUUAUUUAAAUUAAGAUUAGAUUAAACUGGUUAGGUUUAAAGCUCCUUUAUAUAAGGAUAAAUGGAAUUAGUUACUUUAGGGGUAACAGCGUAAUAUUUUUGGAGAGAUCUUAUUUAUAAAAAUGAUUGCGACCUCGAUGUUGAAUUAAAUUAAUUUUAUDGGGCAGAAAAUAUAAAGUAGAGGUUUGUUCAACCUAUAGUAUUUUACAUGAUUU